UUUUUGGCCUUUCUCUCUGCCUCGUUCUGUCCGAGAACCAGACCCAGAGGCAAGCAUUUGUUCUCGUGUCCUCUUCCUCGAGCUAGAACUGCGCCGCCGCCUGAUCUCCUACCAACUGCUGUUCCGUGUGGCAUGGAAAGAUUGGUUGAGGCAGCUGUUCGUCACAAGGUAAAAAAAAAGCUCGUCACUACACUGCAUCACUGCUUCCUGCUUCAUUCGGCCGUGAUUCAUGAGGUCGGUGGGGUUUGCUCCGUCCGCCGCGUGCAGCUUCAUCAUCCCUGCACAUCUCUCUCUCUCUCUCUCUCUCUCUCUCUCUGAGUUAUGCCAGUUAUUCCUCUAGAUUCCUUUACGGGUCCUUGGCCUGGUUGUCUGCGUGGUCUGAUUCAAUGGUACACGUUGCAGUUCAUAUGUUUGUUGUAAUGUCUGUGAGGUGACAAUCCUAUUGUAAGCGCUUAAGCUGUGUUUCUAUUCAUUUACUGCGCACGCAUAAUACAUAGGUUCGUUGGCUUCAAGCUUUCAUGGAGGCACCAUCUUCUGGUUCGUCAUGCUCCCGAAGCCACGACAAGGAACCACAUGCCCAAAGGUUUCUGCAGUUUUUUCCUCUAUAUUAUUUUGUUCUUCGCUUGAUUUGUUGAUGCUUCGAUUUCAAUAAUUAUAGGUUACAUUAGUUGAACUCUUGUUCCAUGUGAAACCGAGUAUGGAUGUUCACAUAAUGAACUGGCAUUGCUUUUUUAUAUUUGCACUGACACACAUUCUAUUCAUUGAGAUUCCUAUUUUGGAUAGGCGUGGCAGCUGCUCGCGAAAAUGUCUUACUUAAGCAAAAUAAUAAGGUCAGAAGCAAAAAUGCCAGAUUCGUUAUAUGUACGAUGCAUGCUUUGAGAUCUCCCAUCGAUAUUUUCGAAGGUUGAUUGAUGCCUUUGUCUAUGCAAACCAAAUUCAGAUGCACUACAAGCAGAUCAAAAUACUUUAGCCAUGGUGAGAUCAUCGUCUUCGCCUUCAGUUCAUCCAGGAAAUUUCUUGUACUAUUAACAUGCCACUACAGAUUUUCCAUAAACUGACUGCACCUUUAUUCUGAAAUUAUUGUAUAUAUCACAUUAUCACCGAGGGGGGAGGGUUGUUGCCAUAUGGUUGCCAUACUGUAAUUAUCAAUCCCUGAUUUUUUGUUCAUUUGGAAACUUGUGCUAUAGUAUGUUUGUUUUACCAUCACCAUGAUUAGCUUUGGCCUUCACAGUGGUGGUGGUUUUUGUCCUGUGAAACUUACCAUAGAUCAGCGACUGCAUAUGGCAUAUGAUGCUCAAUACACAUACUAGAAUUAUUGAUUCUGCUAUAGAAAUGAAGUGCCAUGGUUUAUGCCCCUGCAGGUAUGUAGUAUUCCUACAACUUGACUGGUUUUUUCUGUUUCUAGCAUGUUCGGAUUGUACUAUUGGCAUGGAUUUAUAUGAAACUCGUUUGUCUUCUAGAAUAGAUUGACGUGGAGGCUUUUCCUUUCUUUCUUUUGCUGCAACUUUAGAUUGACAUUUCUGUUCUUACCUUUCUUUGUGUGUAAGUGGUCCAUACAGAUCUUGGAUACUCCCUCUGUUCCCUAAUAGAAGACAUUUUGGCAAGCUAAAUCAGUUUUCCCAAACGUCUGGUAUUAGGGAACAGGGGAAGCAGAUCAUACUAUGCACACGAUGAAAGUAUUGCAGUUUCAUGUUAGGUAUGCGGGUAGUGUCAUAUUACUGAGCGCACCUGUUAAUAAAAAACUAAAAUAUGAUAUUAAUUAACACUUGG